GAUGAACGCUGGCGGCGUGCCUAAUACAUGCAAGUCGAGCGAACGGACGAGAAGCUUGCUUCUCUGAUGUUAGCGGCGGACGGGUGAGUAACACGUGGAUAACCUACCUAUAAGACUGGGAUAACUUCGGGAAACCGGAGCUAAUACCGGAUAAUAUUUUGAACCGCAUGGUUCAAAAGUGAAAGACGGUCUUGCUGUCACUUAUAGAUGGAUCCGCGCUGCAUUAGCUAGUUGGUAAGGUAACGGCUUACCAAGGCAACGAUGCAUAGCCGACCCGAGAGGGUGAUCGGCCACACUGGAACUGAGACACGGUCCAGACUCCUACGGGAAGCAGCAGUAGGGAAUCUUCCGCAAUGGGCGAAAGCCUGACGGAGCAACGCCGCGUGAGUGAUGAAGGUCUUCGGAUCGUAAAACUCUGUUAUUAGGGAAGAACAUAUGUGUAAGUAACUGUGCACAUCUUGACGGUACCUAAUCAGAAAGCCACGGCUAACUACGUG
rnacentral:rRNA from 1 species